rnacentral:lncRNA from 1 species
UUUGGCUGCAUGAUCCCUAUAAUCGGAACCAACUUUUUAACCAGUUAGGGAAUUUCAUGAGUUCAGUUAUUUUAAAUUGUACUUACCAACUAUGUGAAGUUUUAGUAUUUUGGUAGGCAAAGAUUUCAUCCCAAGCCUUGAUAUAUUCAAAAUAAUGGUAGGAUCUCAUUUAAAUCCUCUAGUAUUUAACAUCAUUGGCUUUAAAGGAUCUAAUC